rnacentral:rRNA from 1 species
UGGGGAAUUUUGGACAAUGGGCGAAAGCCGAUCCAGCAAUGCCGCGUGUGUGAAGAAGGCCUUCGGGUUGUAAAGCACUUUUGUCCGGAAAGAAAUCCUUGGCUCUAAUACAGUCGGGGGAUGACGGUACCGGAAGAAUAAGCACCGGCUAACUACGUGCCAGCAGCCGCGGUAAUACGUAGGGUGCAAGCGUUAAUCGGAAUUACUGGGCGUAAAGCGUGCGCAGGCGGUUUGCUAAGACCGAUGUGAAAUCCCCGGGCUCAACCUGGGAACUGCAUUGGUGACUGGCAGGCUAGAGUAUGGCAGAGGGGGUAGAUGAUCCACGUGUAGCAGUGAAAUGCGUAGAGAUGUGGAGGAAUACCGAUGGCGAAGGCAGCCCCCUGGGCCAAAUACUGACGCUCAUGCACGAAAGCGUGGGGAGCAAAACAGGAUUCAGAUACCCUGGUAGUCCACGCCCUAAACGAUGUCAACUAGUUGUUGGGGAUUCAUUUCCUUAGUAACGUAGCUAACGCGUGAAGUUGACCGCC